GAGGGUACAGCUCAGUGGUAGAGUGCAUGCCUUGCAUGCACAAGUUCCUGGGUUCAACCCCCAGUACCUGCA
rnacentral:tRNA from 1 species